rnacentral:sRNA from 2 species
GGACGAAUUGGGUCUGGGAGCCCAGGAAGACCGGUGGGAAUCCGGCGCAGCCCCGCUACGGUGUGGACUUUGAGUCCGAGCCCGACACUGGCCCCAGGUCCUGGAUGCGGCCCCCCUUCGAGGGCGGGGGGGCCGCAU